CCUACGGGUGGCAGCAGUGGGGAAUAUUGGACAAUGGGCGAAAGCCUGAUCCAGCCAUGCCGCGUGUGUGAAGAAGGCCUUCGGGUUGUAAAGCACUUUCAGUGGGGAAGAAAGCCUUGGGGCUAAUACCCUCGAGGAAGGACAUCACCCACAGAAGAAGCACCGGCUAACUCCGUGCCAGCAGCCGCGGUAAUACGGAGGGUGCGAGCGUUAAUCGGAAUUACUGGGCGUAAAGCGCGCGUAGGCGGUCUGAUAAGCCGGUUGUGAAAGCCCCGGGCUCAACCUGGGAACGGCAUCCGGAACUGUCAGGCUAGAGUGCAGGAGAGGAAGGUAGAAUUCCCGGUGUAGCGGUGAAAUGCGUAGAGAUCGGGAGGAAUACCAGUGGCGAAGGCGGCCUUCUGGACUGACACUGACGCUGAGGUGCGAAAGCGUGGGUAACAAACAGGAUUAGAUACCCGAGUAGC
rnacentral:rRNA from 1 species